GGAAAUAGAGCAAGACCCACAAAAGAUAUGCUGGCGAAUUUGUAAGAAAAAUGUAGAAAUAUACUAUGCGGCCCCUGAUGAUGGAUGGAGUGUCCAUGUGCAGGAGCAGCAUACGAUUAUGCUGAGAAGUGAAGAAGGGAUCGGUAUUGGAUGCAACAAACAAGUUUUCUGAAAAUGCCAUUUUGCCAGCAUGCUGCUGUGUGUAUGCGUGGCCUGGGAAAAAAAGUUUCAAUAGUGGAGAUAAGCAAAAUGUAACGAUCGAUUCCCCACUACUUAAAGUUCUCUUUUCUUAUCUAGGAAAAAAACAUAAACCAGAUCAUCCUUGAAAUGGGUAUAAAGCAUACUCAUUGAAGCAAGAUUAUAAAAUAAACCAUCCGUGACAAGCAGAACAAUAAGGUUAAAUCGUCGUGUGCUAAUAAGACAACU
rnacentral:lncRNA from 1 species